rnacentral:lncRNA from 1 species
UUUUGUUGAAGUAUAGUUAAUUUAAGAUGUUGUUAGUUUCUUCUGUGCAGCGAAAACUGGUAGGAAUUAGAUUAUAAUUGAAUUUACUAUUCAACUUUGAGAGAAUUGACAGCUUUUCAAUAUUGAGCUUUUCCUUUAAUGAACAAGAGAAUUCUGUUUGUUUGUUUGUUUGUUUGUCUUUUUAGGGCCUCACCCUCAGCAUAUGGAAGUUCCCAGGCUAGGGGGUCAAAUCAGAGCUGCAGCUGCCAGCCUACACCACAGCCACAGCCACAGCCAUGCAGAAUCCAAGCCACAUCUGCGAUCUACACCCCAGCUCACGGCGACACUGGAUCCUUAAGCCACUGAUGGAGGUCAGGGAUCAAAUCUGGAUCCUCAUGGAUAAUAAUUGGUUUCGUUACUGCUGAGCCACGACAUGAACUCCAAGAAUUCUCACACAAUAUCUACUGGCACCAGUGUGAGCCAUGGAUUGGCUAGGGGUGAGAGGAAGAACGUAAAAAAUUGAAAUAUUAUGGAGCUAGAAAUAAGUAGGAUUGAAAUAUUGAAAUAAUAUGGGUACUGGAAGAGCACCCCCUUGUGACCAGAGGCAUAUCCAGGCUUCAUCUGGUAGGAAUUGCCUGCUAAAUUAAGAAUGGUUGUCCAGCAUCCCCUAAUGUGGGCAAGGUGACUGGAGAGAGGGUACUUCAGCUGUGUCUGAGUCACCACAACAUAAACAAUGGGGUUGAUGGGUAAUAUGGCUUUUCAGAGCCAUACAUCUCUGAUUUGGGACCCUCCCAAGGUCCCUUUCACUACAUCCCACCAUCAACUGCAACUCUAAGUGGACACAGACAACCUUAGGAUUAUUCCAGUGGAGGAUCAAGACAUGGCUAAGCCAAAGAGCAGACUUUGGUGAAUGAAAAGAAGUAGUUGAGAGCCCUGGACAAUGAAUGGCUGAUAAAGUUUCCGUGCCACCCUACACCUUGUGUGGCCCGCCUGCUAAAACCAGAGAAGAGGUAAAUUUGCUGCUCAAGGAUCCAUGUUGCUCUAGAGGGAGCCCUCAUCUGCCAAUCUGCCUUUUCCCUAUGGGUACCGGUAAGUAGUUAGAUUACAGACUCCUUCUUACUGAUGACUAUUCUGGAUGAAAUACUCUUUGAACUCCCAGAGGGCUCUGAGUGUGGACAAGUGUACCUGCUGGAGAAAUGAAAUAAUGAUUGAUAAAAUUUCUCACAGAAAUGUAGAUACCCUCAUUUGUAAAUAUGAGCAAAAAACAUAAAAAUUAUUCAUUAAAAUUCAAAAGCUCACCUCUCUAAGAAAAUAGCCACCACUAAAAUAGAACACAUGAAGAAAACAAGAGAGGUCCUUAAAAAUUAUAGUUAAUAUCCCUCGUGCUAUCUGAGAAAAUAUUGCAUUGAUUAAAAAUAAAAUUAGUCAUUAUUAAAGAGGAACAAUUAGAAAGUAGAAGAGAAUUUUGGCUAUUAACAAAGUUUGUGAUUAUCUUAUACAAAUAUUUUCAGAAAUUAGAAAAGGAAGAAUGCUUGUCAGCUCAUUUUAUAAGGCAAAUAUUUCCUUAAACAGGUGAAGACAUGAAAACAACUGACCAUUCAUAAUUCCUCUAUAUAUAACAAGGGCAAAAACCCCAACAAAAUAUUGGCAGUCUGAAUCCAACAACAUAAAAAAAAAAAAGAUUAUAAAUCACGAUAAGGAAUUCUUAGGAAUUCCAGGUUGGUUUAACAUUCAAAAAUCAGUUAAGUAUAUGUAUGAUUGUGUCACUAUGCUGACAUCUCACCAUGUAUGACAGCAGAAAAUCACACUACACUGUAAACCAACUAUACUCUAAUACAAUUUUUUUAAAGUAAAAAAAUUAUUUUAAAAAUCAAUUAGAAGUUCCCAUCGUGGCACAGAGGAAACGAAUCCAACUAGGAACCUUGAAGUUUCGGGUUCGAUCCCUGGCCUUGCUCAGUGGGUUAAGGAUCUGGCAUUGCUGUAAGCUGUGGUGUAGGUCACAGAUGCUACUCAGAUCCUGUGUUGCUGUGCCUGUGGCGUAGGUCAGCAGCCGUAGCUCCGACUGGACCCCUAGCCUGGGAACCUCCAUAUGCCGUGGGUGUGGCCCUAAAAUAGCAAAAACAAAUAAAUAAAUAGAAGGUUAAAACUAUAAAAAAAAUUUUAAAAUAAAAAUAAUUUAAAUAUUCGAGGAUGGCCCUAAUCUUUGAGUUGCUGGGCACCACACAUAUAUCUGCUAAACUCUUUCCCAUAUUCUACAGGAAAAUAUGCUUUAUCAAAAUGAGAAACAAGCUAAUUUAAAAAGAAAUAAAAAAUAAAAUAGAGGAGUUCCUUCAUGGCUCAGCAGGUUAAGGAUCCAGCAUUGUCACUGCUGUGGCUUGGGUCACUGCUAUGACGCAGGUUUGAUCCCUGGCCUGGGAACUUCCACAUGUUGUGGAUAUAG